rnacentral:lncRNA from 1 species
CGUUUUAGUAGUGAUUUCUGAAAAAAUUAAUUUAUUUAUGCAUGUGUAUAUGCUUUACAAGUCUAAUUUAUAAAAAUAUUUGGGCUCAUGGAUCAAUUAAUUCAUUACAUAAACCUGAAAGCACACAUAGUUAGGAUUCAAUUUUUUCCCUUUUUGCUGACAAUUAACUCGAUACAGAAAAUUUUCACCUUGCUUAAGGUUUCUUUAUCUGUUCAUUCUUUUCUAAAUUGUGCUUUAUGUUUUUUCUUUGUUAUUUUUUUUUAUGACAACUGUUUAACAUUCAAAAUUUUGGUCAUUGGAACUAACGAGCUCUAAAAAAAUUCUCUAGAGUAUAUCUGAAUGCAAAUUCAUAAUUCAUGGAAUUCGUUCUUGACGAAACUUUGGGCUAAAAUUACUUCAAAAGUUUUAAGAGUUUUCUGGUCUUUAUGCUUCUUCAAAAGUUAAGGCUGUGGUUCUCAAUACUUACCCAUUUUAUAUCUCAUCAAAGAUACAAAUUAUAAUUCUUCUGCAUCAUUGUAUGAUCUACAUACAGCCAUUAUUAAAUUCAAUUUACACUUCAAAUUAUACUUAAGUCAAUUGAAUAAGAAAUUAUACUCAUGCAACCUUAUUUUCGCACAUAUUGUGUCCAUUUUUAAUUAUUGCCCUUGUUUGAGCCCCAUUUUUGUGAAGAAAAUGAAUUUUUGAAUAGUGUAUUGAUGGAAAAUGUGUGGUUAAAAAAUAAGGAAAAGUUUUUGAUUUGCGUACAAUAUUAUUUUAUUGAAGAAUGUAUGGUUGAAAUGAUGUCAAAUCACUGUUGAAUAAUGUAUUUUAGUUGAAAAAUGGGGCUCAAACAAGGGCAUUCAUCUUAUGCUACUCCUGCAUCUUGAGAAAUGACAUUUCAUGAAUUUUGGAUCCUUGUAUGACGAAUUUUUUUCUUAGGAUUUUAUCAUUUUAUUGUCUGGGUACCUUGUUUGCUUUGGGUUAUGCACAGAUUUAUGCAUGAUGAGUGGGUGAGAACAUGUAUUUCAAUCAAAUGCAUAAUAUUUUUCAAUCUGCAGUUGACACGUCUUUAUCAUCUCUGACUUGUCUGAAAUGUGUGCCAUGUUUAUUCUAUGUCCUGGAAUCUCAUAAUUGGAAAGUUAAAGUAAGAUGCACCUCCUUCCAAUGCAAUGUCUGUUUGUGUCUACCGUCUGUUGGCAUUGCAGCAUUAUCGGAACGUUAAUUCAAUCAAAACAUUUGUGUUAUAGCAUUCGGUAUGUUUGAACUGUCUUUCACAUUUGAUUUAUGCUGACUAAUUUGUUGGUGGCUUGUAUUUGAUUCCAGUUUAUAUGGUGGGCUAGAGCGAAGUUUGGGCUGUAUUGCCAUGAUGUCCUUGGAUUGAUCAUGUUGGGUCAAUAUUUUGGACCUCUUGACUUUCAAGCAAAAGGUCAGAAUGACAUUGCUUGAAUAGAUUGUCUAUUUGCUGACUUUGUGUGUUUCUUCAUUUUCAUCUAUAAGUUUCUUAUUCAUGGACUAUGUGGGACACAUUCCUAUGGAAGUAGCAAUUUUAAUGCCAGAAGUGUGUUACUCAUGGAUUAUGUGGGAUCUUCAACUAGAUAAGCAACAACGGUAGGGCUUAAAUGCAUUAUGUUUUUAUUUGUUGAAAUCUUUUUUCUUUCCAUCUUUUUGGAUAAGGAUUUUUAUAUCUAACAUUUUGUUAUUCAUACUUGUCGGUAUUAGGUUUUGUCUUCAAGCCACAAAAUCUUCUAUCUUUCCAUGGUGUGCGACUUAUAUAAGUAGACAUGACUUUGGACAUGGCUUGCUCACAAAAGAAGGUAAAAUAUUACGCUGAUAGAUUGAUGAAUAAAAGCAUUUGAGAUACGACUGUUUAGAGUCUUUUUAAAUGGCAAAGACAAUACAUAUGCAGCAAUUUUGAUAUGUAAGUGCAAUUAUAUUUCAUUAUGUUAUGUUAUUCAUAAUAAUUCAG